rnacentral:lncRNA from 1 species
GUUUAAUUUUUUAUUACCCACAAUCCCUUGCUUACUUACUUAACAUACAUUUUCAUAACUUUUCAUAUUUUAACAUUUAGAGUACACCAGGUCAGGCUGUGUAUCAUGCGUAUAUAUCAUGGAAAAUAUUCAAGGUAGGCAAAUUGUUCUUCGGCAAAAGCCAUACUAUAUAUAAUUACUAUAAUUACUAUAAUUACUGUACAAGGUCAUCUAGAUAGUAGCACGUCAGCAGGUGGUUCACGGCGUUCAGUCACGUGAUUGCUGAACGUUGUACUUCCUUAACGUAAUUUUAAUCUCCCUGCGUCAUUUGUUCGUUUGUCUUUUAAUCAUGCACAUCGAAAAAUUACGUUGCUAUGUAAAAAACCGAACAGUUUGGAGACACGAUCUAUAUCUAAGAUAACACCUAAAACCUGUGAUCUCCCUGCGUGGCUGACCCUAAUUGACACAUAAUUAUUUUUAUAUUAUUGAAACAUAAUAUAAAGUGUCAAAUUUACAACAUUAACUGAAACGAUAACGAUUUGUACGUCCAAAAAAAAAAAAAAAAAGUAGUACGACGCUAAAGUGUCAAAUUUACAACAUUAACUGAAACGAUAACGAUUUGUACGUCCAAAAAAAAAAAAAAAGUGUACCGCGCAUGCGCAGUGACCAACAUGACGCACGUACGUUGCGUUUUACUGGUGCCAAAAAUAUUGCAGUAGAACAAUGAGGUUUAUGACAAGCCUGGACGAGAGAGAUUUUACAGAGGACAGUAUCAAGUUCAAGAUAUGAACAGUGAUUCAGAGGAAGACGUUCUGGUGGAUGACUGGAUGACAUCCAAACAAGAUCUGUUGGACACAUCAGAUGAAGAGCUGAAUGAUGACCUUUUGUGUAGCGAUGAUGAGAACGAAACUAUAAGAUGUCACAAUGAAAGCAUUUCUAAACCAAAACUGCAGGCGAUUGCAAAGCCUUACCUCGUUUGCAAAACUCCACACCUUGCUGAAGACCAAGGCAGAUGUCCUAAAGAAGAGGUGGAAGUGGACCCUGGUGAAGUUUUAGACAUCGAAAUCAAUGCCCCUUCUGGAGAUGAAUUUCACCAGGAAGUUGCUGACUACAGUGAUCAUCAGCAGGCCAAUGUAAAGAUGGAUGUUAAGGAUGACAUUAAGGUGGUGUCCAGUUUGCAGGAGUCAAGAGAGGGUGGAUCUGAGUUGCGAGAGGGUCUCUCUCCUCAACCCUUUGGGCCUCAUCUCACACACUCCUGUGGGGGACAGCCUGCCCCAGAGGAGACCCUCACUGGACCCUGCUGCAGUCCUGAGCCAGUGUUCCCAGGACAGCAUAUGUUUGAUCCACAACACUCUGCUUCAGUCUUGGACACUAAUCCGCCCCUUGCUGGACCUACUCCCAUGGGCUCCAUUCAGCCUCCAGGAAAUGAGAGUGACCCCUGCAGGCCCAGUCUAGCUUUGCAAGGGCCCACCGAUCUGUCAAGGCCUGGGACUCCCCACCGUGGGCAAAAGCCUUUUCAGAAACAUCCAUCAGCUCAGUCUGGCUGCUCCUUUACUGCUCCCUCUGGACCACAGGCACAGAAACCUGCUGUGCUGGUAAGAGCUGUUGCCAGGAUGGUGCAGAGUGCCAAGCCAAUGGCUGUUGCCAGGGGGAUGCCCAUUGCUGCAAGGCAGCCAAAAGGUGCCAAGUCUAAGAUAUCUGCCAAAACUCCACCAGCGCCAGGGAUGCUGGGAAGAAAUGUGGGUCAGAAGGUCAAGGUGCAGCCCCAAACUCCUCCAGCUACUCAAAAACAUCCCGCAAAGCCACUAAACAUGACAAACAACAAAGAGUGUGAGGAGGAGGAGUUCUACAUGGAGAGGCUGCAGGAGCAGAUGCGACUGAGGGAGCAGGUUAUCAAACAGAAGGAACGGAUGAGAUCUAGACGGGCUGUAAACAAGAAGCAUCUGCGGCAGGAGCACUUCCAAACUGAUAGUUCCACCGUACACUGGAACAAAAACCAAAAAUCAACAGAAACAGCCGUGCAUCUUGGGUUCCUGCCCUCAAAAGGUUACGCACCUGCAGCCCUUCCAUAA